ACGGGUGAGUAACGCGUGGGAAUCUACCGUACCCUACGGAAUAGCUCUGGGAAACUGGAAGUAAUACCGUAUACGCCCUAACGGGGAAAGAUUUAUCGGGGUAUGAUGAGCCCGCGUUGGAUUAGCUAGUUGGUGGGGUAAAGGCCUACCAAGGCGACGAUCCAUAGCUGGUCUGAGAGGAUGAUCAGCCACAUUGGGACUGAGACACGGCCCAAACUCCUACGGGAGGCAGCAGUGGGGAAUAUUGGACAAUGGGCGCAAGCCUGAUCCAGCCAUGCCGCGUGAGUGAUGAAGGUCUUAGGAUUGUAAAGCUCUUUCAACGGUGAAGAUAAUGACGGUAACCGUAGAAGAAGCCCCGGCUAACUUCGUGCCAGCAGCCGCGGUAAUACGAAGGGGGCUAGCGUUGUUCGGAAUUACUGGGCGUAAAGCGCACGUAGGCGGGUAUUUAAGUCAGGGGUGAAAUCCCGCAGCUCAACUGCGGAACUGCCUUUGAUACUGGGUAUCUUGAGUAUGGAAGAGGUAAGUGGAAUUGCGAGUGUAGAGGUGGAAUUCGUAGA
rnacentral:rRNA from 1 species